AGUGAACGCUGGCGGUAGGCCUAACACAUGCAAGUCGAACGGCAGCACAGUAAGAGCUUGCUCUUACGGGAGGCGAGUGGCGGACGGGUGAGGAAUACAUCGGAAUCUACUUUUUCGUGGGGGAUAACGUAGGGAAACUUACGCUAAUACCGCAUACGACCUACGGGUGAAAGCAGGGGAUCUUCGGACCUUGCGCGAUUGAAUGAGCCGAUGUCGGAUUAGCUAGUUGGCGGGGUAAAGGCCCACCAAGGCGACGAUCCGUAGCUGGUCUGAGAGGAUGAUCAGCCACACUGGAACUUAGACACGGUCCAGACUCCUACGGGAGGCAGCAGUGGGGAAUAUUGGACAAUGGGCGCAAGCCUGAUCCAGCCAUACCGCGUGGGUGAAGAAGGCCUUCGGGUUGUAAAGCCCUUUUGUUGGGAAAGAAAAGCAGCAGGUUAAUACCCCGCUGUUCUGACGGUACCCAAAGAAUAAGCACCGGCUAACUUCGUG
rnacentral:rRNA from 1 species